CUUGCCCGAUCCCUUUUCUCCUUUCCUUCUUCUCUCCGCUCGCUCAUUCCAAAAUUCAUACGAGCGGAUGAGAUCCGACUGCUCGACUCGCAGGUGAUGUGGGCUUGGAUCUUGUCUUCCGCUGCCAGCUUGAAUCCAUCUUGAGCGUGAGGAUGGCGGCAGCGUUGUCUUCCCCUAGCGCGCGAGUCGGACGCAUCGUCGUUGUUCCCAGUCGAGGCAGACCGACACAUCGUCGUCAUCCUCCACAUUGGCAACUUUCUUCGACCUACAGGGGGAUGUGGAACCUCGAGUGUGCUCCCUAUAGAAGCAGCUCUGCAAUAUGAGAUGACAUCACUGCUAGUACUAUCUUUCCUUCGGAACACAACUUUGCUGUGAUUGCCUUCGUAGGUGGAAACGCAACCUUUUGAUGCAGAGAUCUUGAAAGUGCAUUUUGAACUGAAAUAGUCUUCAGCACGCAUCAUUGCGUGAUAUGUACGUGUACUUGAGGAACCUAUUGAUCUUAUUGUUUUCUAUUAGCGUUGUCGCUUGGUUAUCACCUUUAGUUAUAUAUAUUUUAAAGGUAUUUUAUCGAUAGAGACCUGUUGCAUACCUUAACUUGUGUGUGCUUGAUA